UCUCUCUCUCUCUCUCUCUCUCUCUCUCUCUCUCUCUCUCUAAUAAAGAAAUGAAGCAGUAACUUACUUAGCCAUGCAGUAAAGCUAUAACCACUUCUCUCUUCUUUCCUUACUACAAAAGCCAAAUUCUUUCUCACUUAAACGCACCAAUCUCUCAUCUAUUCUUUGUUUUUCUACCACAACUCAAAAAUAUACAAGGCAUUAAUUUCUUUGUAUUAUAUAUUUGAGAAACUAUUUAUACAAAUAGGGUUUUGUUUUUUGGCUUAAUUAGAGAGAUGUACAAGAACCUAUGGAAAUUUCUUUUGCAUCUACUUGUGUUUCUCGGAGCUAUUUUGAUAAUCGUCGCAGCUGCAGAAAACAAUAGAGGUACAAGAAUCAAGAACAUUGGAAAUACAAACCGCCACCACCACCACCAUCACCACCACCGCCGCCACGUGGAAGAGCGGAAUUAUAAUACGGGAAGAAAUCAUGAAAACACGAAGCAUGUAAUUAGUAGAGCUGCUGUUUCAAAGUUUGAUCUCAACUACACGAGCAAAAGAAAGAUACCUAAUGGACCUGAUCCUAUUCACAACAGGUCUGUCAUUUUAUUUAUUUUUAUUUUUUAAAUAUGUAUAUCUAUAUAUAUUUUUAUUCAUAAAUUCAAAACUUAAAAAACCAUGCUAUAUGUAUAUUGCAUCCAAAUAAAGCAAUAAAGAGAGCCACUCACCACUUUAUCCUUUUGUUGAACACAUUUAAUAAAGUUCAAUUUUAAAAUAUUUAAUUUUUGUUUUCUACCCUUUUGAGGGUUUGAUUUUCAGAAGCACCUUUAUAAGUACAAUGGCUUUAGUACGUAGCCUACCACUAUUCAUUCUAUAAUAAUAAUAAUUUCAUUUUCUGUUUUAUUGAAAAAAAUAAAUAUAUCUUAGUAAAUUAUGGAAUUUUAUUAUAAUAAUAUAGUAAAUUAAUUAUAUCGGCGUUUUUCAGACGACAAACACCUGGCCGGCAAGCUUAGGCAGAGGACUACGCAUGAUCACAAUUGUUGCAGCCAUGCAAGAGUUUUCCAUCUCGUAUUUUCUGGAAUACUUCGAUCGAUUUUUUUUUAAUUUAAUUAAAUGUCAGAAAUAUUUUGGCUUGUUCAUUUUUUUUCUUUUCUUUUCACUAAAAAAAUAUGCAAUUUGGUACAGAAAUUUCAUGAGAAAAAUCAUUAGGCGAAAUUAAUUGUGGUACAAAUAUUAAAUCCACA
rnacentral:lncRNA from 1 species